UUAGAUACCCUAUUAUACUGAUAAAACCCUUAAUUAUUAAUAGAUAUAGUCUUUAAACUUAAAGAAUUUGGCGGUGAUUUAAUCUUAUUAGAGGAAUCUGUUUUAUGAAUCGAUAAACCACGUAAAAUCUUACUCACUUUAACUUAGCUUAUAUACCGUCAUUAUCAGAUGAUUUCUGAGAGAAUAAAUGUAAUCAUUGGGGUUUAUGAAGAGAAUAAAUUAAAUUAGAUCAAGGUGUAGCUUAUAUGUGAGUUAAAAUGGAUUACAAUAAAGUAUAUUUAAUACGAAUUAAAUGUAAGAAAAAUUUUAUGAAGGAGGAUUUAAUUGUAAUGGGAGUUUAAUAAGCUCUUAAGAUAUAAGCACUAAAUUAUGUACAUAUCGCCCGUCGCUA
rnacentral:rRNA from 1 species